AGCGGCUGGUGGAGCUCUGCCAUCCUGCACAUCUUUGAUGCAUUGACGCCAGCCAGCAGACUAGCAGUCUGCCCUCCUCUGCCUUUUCUUCAAAGAGACCUGCAGGAAGUUGCAGCCAGUGGUGGUGUUCCUUGGCAAUGACGUCCUUAACAUACGAUGGAUUCUUGGAGAUUCAAUGCAGUUAUGGUGCUACACUGCUACCCUCCUUGGUGUCGCAUGAUUCCCUGGUUUUACCUUCCCGGAGAGGCUGAUGGAUUCUAGACAGUUGUAGGUUCUAUUAUUGAAGUGUGUUCUGGUGAUUGUGGAGUGUGUCUGCACCGAAAUAUUAUGGUGUACAUUUCUGUUGGUAAUUGGAUAGGUGGUUCUUCUGCAGCUUACAUGUCAUUGGGUUUGCAGUGCUCAAUGCCUUUGAAUUAUUUUGCUUUAGGCAUAACAAGAUAGUGAUGAGUUUAUUUUUGCCAAUGUUUGAUGGUACUUUGGCAUAUAUAUUUGAUUGGAGAGAUAGAAUAUAAUACCUUGAUGGUUGCAUGCCUAACUGCAUCCAGUCCCAUGCUCACUAGAGUUUUGAGAGGAAAUAGGUGUCUGUAGCCCUUUUUACAUGGAUUAUUAAAUCUUGCACUUCACAUCUGGGCACAAUAUGUAGGGAAAGUCAGGCUUAUCUUGUACUUAAUUUUUAAUUGUAUUUCUUACUGUCCUUGCCGCGUAAUUAGGAGCAGUAUGCACGGUGGUGGUUUGUUGGUCUGUAUGUGUGUGGGAAUCUUGCACCCCAAUGGAGCACCGGUUGGUUUGUUGGUCUGUGCAAAAUGGGGAUAUAUCAUGUCAGUUUAUAAUUAUUUCUACUGAAAAUUCUGCGCCAUACAGUAUAAGAAUCUCACCUGGUGAUGAGGCAAUAUUAUUUUGGAAUGAUAAUUAUUCUUAUAUUGCAGUAAAACCAAAUGACUCUAGCUUUUGCUUGCUUUUAUAGCAUAGACAUUGAUCUGGUGAAAAUGAUUCUAUUUAAGCUAAAUCAUUGCCUUAAAUGUGCAUAUGUUGUGGGAAAUUAGUUCUUUCUAGAACAAGGAUAUGCUAUUAAGCUGGUAUAUUUUCUUUGGAAACUUGUAGGUGGAUGCUUUGAUGAAAUAAAGUUAUUCGUAUCCUCCACCUCUUCCACCCUCGUGGCCGGAGGAUGCCAGACAACAUCACAAAGCAUAUUGGCACAAGUGAGCUUCCUACUUCUUUGUUCAUCGAUCUACAUUUUGAAUCAUUUGUGUAUUUGCUUUCUCUGGUUGGUGUUUAUGGUCAUCGAGUUGGGGAAAAAUCCGUAGAGAAGAAAACUGAAAAACUUGCAAGAAAAACUUCAGAUUUCUGAGGAGUAAUUUUAACAUGCAUGGAAAAUUGUAAGGGGUUAGAAAAGGAACUGCUUCAUAUACCAAAGGACCAAACACGAGAGAAAGAACUAGAAAUUUUCUUGUUCUACAGGCAGAACUAAAAAACCAAAGAAGCAGCAUACAUGAUUUUAUUCCAAGUUCUGUAGACCAGGGAAUCCGGAGGCUGAGAGAUAGCUUUCGUGUCUUCACUGUGUACAAUAUAUUUUGCCAUUUUCAGUGAAGACUAUAUCAUUUUUCCUAUGCCAUAAAACUAAAUCUAAUUCUCGAUCAAACAAUUACCAAAAUAAUUGCGAUAGGGUAGUGCUGGACAUACAUUUGACGGAAUGGUCAUUUAAAAUAUUGGUGUGAAUAUUUAUUUUGGACCCAAAUUUACCUUUUCAAAUUUUACGGACUAUAGGUGAAGAAUAUCAAGUGCCGAGUCAUUGCAUUUGCAUCGAGUGAAUUCACCAUUGUAUAUGUAUAUACGUUGGUUGUCCUGAUGGUGAAUCCAUGUUGAUUUUUGACUUGCAGCUGCAUCUGAUUGGAUAGCUCAUACUUCCUUCAUGACCUGAUGGUGAAUCCAUGUCUCUAUUGCAAUUUUAUAGUGGUCUCUAUUGCAAUUUAGUAGAUUCAUGUUUUUCUGUACCAUUUAGUUGUUAAGCACACAUGCUCUACACAAUUGAAUCCUAGAAGUAAACCUCGCACAUCUUAAAUCUGUACCACACGAAACUUGAAGCAGUGAGGAGGCUGAUGCCAAGAGCCAUGAGGCGAGUAACACCGGCUGGAUGAGACCCCCAUGCACACCAGCUACAUCUUGCGGCAUCAGAUGUUGACAUAAUGGCAUCAAACCGGUGUGAAAUUAUAUUUCUACCAAGGCACUAUGUACCUAAUACAAUGACGAGGUAUUUAAGAAACUUCCCAAAACACAUGAAGUAAAGUUUCUGACGAUAUAAUAACCUGAUGAGCUGCUGCUAUUAAGAUCAAACCAACAAAGGUUGCUGCAGCCUGCAGCAGGGCAAAGCUUAGGAUGUCUCCAAAGGAAAGUGAACAGGCCGAAGUUGUGGCUUGCAUACCUCUGUUUUUACAAGUUUAAGCUAUGGAUGUUGGUGAGAUUCCAUCUAGGGUCAUGAUCAAGGCAGCGCCGUCUGCAGUUUCCAAAGCCAUUAACAACACCAUACCCACCAAUGGUGAAGGGAGAAGUGCCGGUGACAUUAUCUCCGACAACAUGUCAUAAACAUUAUUUCGAUGGAGAAGUCCGACUAUACAACCAACAACCUUUGACAUGUUGUACUAAUGAC